GCCAGCAGCCAUUUCACCCUGCAGCUCUGAACUGGCUACCCACUGAAGGUAAGCAGGGUGGAGCCUGGUCAGUACCUGGAUGGGAGACCUCCCUGGGAAAAACUAAGGUUGCUGCUGGAG
ensembl:rRNA 5S_rRNA 5S ribosomal RNA